AUCCAGCUGAUCAGUAGCAAAUAGGACGAAACGCGCUUCCUGGAU
rfam:Schistosoma haematobium scaffold1263_5, whole genome shotgun sequence.